rnacentral:rRNA from 1 species
CCUACGGGAUGCUGCAGUGGGGAAUAUUGCGCAAUGGGCGAAAGCCUGACGCAGCGACGCCGCGUGAGGGAUGAAGGUCUUCGGAUCGUAAACCUCUGUCAGCAGGGAAGAACGGUCACUGUGCUAAUCAGCAGUGAAUUGACGGUACCUGCAAAGGAAGGACCGGCUAACGCCGUGCAAGCAGCCGCGGUAAUACGGAGGGUGCGAGCGUUAAUCGGAAUUAAUGGGCGUAAAGCGCACGUAGGCGGUAUGGCAAGUCAAGGGUGAAAUCCCCGCGCUCAACGUGGGAACUGCCUUUGAAACUGGCAAACUGGAGUGUGUGAGAGGAUAGUGGAAUUCCAGGUGUAGGAGUGAAAUCCGUAGAUAUCUGGAGGAACAUCAGUGGCGAAGGCGACUAUCUGGCACAUAACUGACGCUGAGGAGCGAAAGCGUGGGUAGCAAACAGGAUUAGAUACCCCUGUAGUC